rnacentral:rRNA from 1 species
GCUGGCUUAGCGCGGGUGGUCCCACUGACCCCAUGCCGAACUCAGAAGUGAAACGCCGUAGCGCCGAUGGUAGUGUGGGGUCUCCCCAUGCGAGAGUAGGGAACUGCCAGGC